GGGAUUUUGGCAUGGGGGCACCCUGACCAGCAAUGCCGCGUGUGUGAAGAAGGCCUUCGGGUUGUAAAGCACUUUUGUCCGGAANGAAAUCGCAUUNGGNUAGAUACCUAGGAGGNGGAUGACUGGUNCCGGAANAAUAAGCACCGGCUAACUACGUGCGCGAGCAGCCGCGGUAAUACUUAGGGUGCGGAGCGNUAAUCGGAAUUACUGGGCGUAAAGCGUGCGCAGGCGGUUUGAUAAGACAGGCGUGAAAUCCCCGANCUCAACUUGUGAAUGGNGCUUGAGACUGUCAGGCUGGANUAUGUCANAGGGGGGUNNAAUUNCACGUGUAGCANNGAAAUGCGUAAAGAUGUGNAGGAAUACCGNUGGCGAAGGCAGNCCCCUGGGACNUCACUGACGCUCAUGCACNAAAGCGUGGGGAGCAAACAGGAUUANAUACCCUGGUAGUCCACGCCCUAAACGAUGUCAACUACUUGUUGGGGAUUCAUUUCUUCAGUAACGUACCUAACNCGUGAAGUUGACCGCCUGGGGAGUACGGUCGCACGAUUAAAACUCANAAGAAUUGACUGA
rnacentral:rRNA from 1 species